rnacentral:rRNA from 1 species
UACGUAGGGUGCGAGCGUUGUCCGGAAUUAUUGGGCGUAAAGGGCGUCGUAGGCGGUUCUGUCACGUCGGGAGUGAAAACACGGGGCUUAACCCCCGUGCCUGCUUCCGAUACGGGCAGACUAGAGGUAUGCAGGGGGAGAACGGAAAUUCCUGGUGUAGCGGUGAAAUGCGCAGAUAUCAGGAGGAACACCGGUGGCGAAGGCAGGUCUCUGGGGCCACUACUGACGCUGAGAGACGAAAAGCUAGGGGGGAGCGAAAUGGGGAUUAGAAAACCCCUUUGUA